AAUAUAUAAAAUAGAAUCAUCAACAAGUAUCACUAAAAAAUAUUGCAUAUAUUCACUAAUAAAUACAUAAAAACUAUAUUUUGUAUUUACAUUUCAAUUAGACUUUUCGCAUAUUGGCUUAUUUUUAGUGAUACUUGUUAAAAAUAUGUUUUAAAAAAUAAGCAAAAAGUUUAAUUGAAAUGUAAAAAUAAGCAUAUUAAUCUAUU
rnacentral:lncRNA from 1 species